rnacentral:rRNA from 1 species
GACGAACGCUGGCGGCGUGCUUAACACAUGCAAGUCGAACGGAAAGGCCCUGCUUUUGUGGGGUGCUCGAGUGGCGAACGGGUGAGUAACACGUGAGUAACCUGCCCUUGACUUUGGGAUAACUUCAGGAAACUGGGGCUAAUACCGGAUAGGAGCUCCUGCUGCAUGGUGGGGGUUGGAAAGUUUCGGCGGUUGGGGAUGGACUCGCGGCUUAUCAGCUUGUUGGUGGGGUAGUGGCUUACCAAGGCUUUGACGGGUAGCCGGCCUGAGAGGGUGACCGGCCACAUUGGGACUGAGAUACGGCCCAGAAUCCUACGGGAGGCAGCAGUGGGGAAUAUUGCACAAUGGGCGGAAGCCUGAGGCAGCAACGCCGCGUGCGGGAUGACGGCCUUCGGGUUGUAAACCGCUUUCGCCUGUGACGAAGCGUGAGUGACGGUAAUGGGUAAAGAAGCACCGGCUAACUACGUG